rnacentral:misc_RNA from 1 species
GAAAUGCGAUAAGUAAUGUGAAUUGCAGAAUUCAGUGAAUCAUCGAAUCUUUGAACGCACCUUGCGCUCCUUGGUAUUCCUUGGAGCAUGCCGUUUGAGUAUCAUGAAAUCUUCAAAGUAAAUCUUUUGUUAACUCAAUUGGUUUCUACUUUGGUAUUGGAGGUCUUUGCAGCUUCACACCUGCUCCUCUUUGUUCAUUAGCUGGAUCUCAGUGUUAUGCUUGGUUCCACUCGGCGUGAUAAGUUAUCUAUCGCUGAGGACACUGUAAAAGGUGGCCAAGGUAAAUGCAGAUGAACCGCUUCUAAUAGUCCAUUGACUUGGACAAUACUUUUAUGAUCUGAUCUCAAAUCAGGUAGGACUACCCGCUGAACUUAAGC